rnacentral:rRNA from 1 species
GACGAACGCUGGCGGCGUGCCUAAUACAUGCAAGUAGGACGCAGUUGCGAACGGGUGAGUAACGCGUAGGUAACUACCUAUUAGAGGGGGAUAACUAUUGGAAACGAUAGCUAAUACCGCAUAAGAGUAGAUGGACCUGCGUUGUAUUAGCUAGUAGGUAGGGUAAUGGCCUACCUAGGCAACGAUACAUAGCAGGUCUGAGAGGGGGAGCGGCCACACUGGGACCGAGACAUGGCCCAGACUCCUACGGGAGGCAGCAGUAGGGAAUCUGCGGCAAUGGGGGGAACCCUGAACCAGCAACGCCGCGGGAGUGAAGAAGGUUUUCGGAUCGUAAAGCUCUGUUGUUAAGGAAGCGGUACUUAACCAGAAAGGGACGGCUAACUACGUGCCAGCAGCCGCGGUAAUAC